UACAGAGGGGGCAAGCGUUAUUCGGAAUUAUUGGGCGUAAAGGGCGCGUAGGCGGCUUUGCAAGUGACGGGUGAAAUCCCUCGGCUUAACCGAGGAACUGCCUGUCAGACUGCAUGGCUUGAGACCGGGAGAGGUGAGUGGAAUUCCCAGUGUAGCGGUGAAAUGCGUAGAUAUUGGGAGGAACACCAGUGGCGAAGGCAGCCCCCUGGGCUAACACUGACGCUCAUGCACGAAAGCGUGGGGAGCAAACAGG
rnacentral:rRNA from 1 species